rnacentral:rRNA from 1 species
GGAAUUGACGGGGAGCACCACAACGGGUGGAGCUUGUCGGUUUAAUUGGAUUCAACGCCGGAAAUCUUACCGGGACCGACAGCAAUAUGAAGGCCAGGCUGAAGACUUUUGCCGGAUUAGCUGAGAGGUGGUGCAUGGCCGUCGUCAGUUCGUACUGUGAAGCAUCCUGUUAAGUCAGGCAACGAGCGAGACCCACGCCCACAGUUGCCAGCGUACUCUCCGGAGUGACGGGUACACUGUGGGGACCGCCGCUGCUAAAGCGGAGGAAGGAAUGGGCAACGGUAGGUCAGUAUGCCCCGAAUAUCCCGGGCUACACGCGAGCUACAAUGGUUGGUACAAUGGGUAUCUACCCCGAAAGGGGACGGGAAUCUCCUAAAACCAAUCUUAGUUCGGAUUGAGGGCUGCAACUCGCCCUCAUGAAGCUGGAAUCCGUAGUAAUCGCGUUUCAACAGAACGCGGUGAAUACGUCCCUGCUCCUU